rfam:Picea glauca, whole genome shotgun sequence.
ACAUGCUUACAACAUAUCGUUAAUGCAAGCGAUCCCAUUAGAACUCCAUAGUUAAGCAUGAUUAGGCUAGAGUGGUACUAGGAUGGGUGACCACCUGAGAAGUCAUAGUGUUUUACAUGCC